rnacentral:rRNA from 1 species
AGAGUUUGAUCAUGGCUCAGAACGAACGCUGGCGGCAUGCCUAACACAUGCAAGUCGAACGGGAUCCUAGCUUGCUAGGUGAGAGUGGCGGACGGGUGAGUAACACGUGGGAAUCUGCCUUUUGGUUCGGGAUAACCGCGGGAAACUGCGGCUAAUACCGAAUGCCCUCGAGAGAGGAAAGAUUUAUCGCCAGAAGAGGAGCCCGCGUCCGAUUAGGUAGUUGGUGGGGUAAAGGCCUACCAAGCCGACGAUCGGUAGCUGGUCUGAGAGGAUGAUCAGCCACACUGGGACUGAGAUACGGCCCAGACUCCUACGGGAGGGCAGCAGUGGGGAAUAUUGGACAAUGGGGGCGAACCCUGAUCCAGCAAUGCCGCGUGAGUGAUGAAGGCCUUAGGGUUGUAAAGCUCUUUUGUCCAGGGAAGAUGAUGACUGUACCUGGAGAAUAAGCCCCGGCUAACUUCGUG